rnacentral:rRNA from 1 species
GCUAGCGGCGUGCCUAACACAUGCAAGUCAAGGGCUCUUCGGAGCACUGGCGGACGGGUGAGUAACGCGUAGGUAAUCUGCCCCAUUCUCUGGCAAAACGUUGAGAAAUCGGCGCUAAUAUCAGAUAUGCACCUUGGUGUAAAAAAUUUCGAUUGGGAUGGGAUGAGCCUGCGUCUGAUUAGCUAGUUGGUAAGGUAAUAGCUUACCAAGGCGACGAUCAGUAGCUGGUCUGAGAGGAUGGUCAGCCACACUGGAACUGAGACACGGUCCAGACUCCUACGGGAGGCAGCAGUGAGGAAUCUUGGUCAAUGGGGGAAACCCUGAACCAGCGACGCCGCGUGUAGGAUGACGGGGCUUUGCCCUGUAAACUACUGUCAGGAGGGAAGAAAAGCGUCUUCGGGGCGCCGGGACAGUACCUCCAGAGGAAGGACCGGCUAACUACGUGCCAGCAGCCGCGGUAAUACGUAGGGUCCAGGCGUUGUCCGGAAUUACUGGGUGUAAAGGGAGUGCAGGCGGAUCGGCAAGUCAGGGGUGAAAGGCUCACGCUCAACGUGAUGCACUGCCUUUGAAACUGCCGACCUUGAGUGUUGGAGAGGGUGAUGGAAUUCCAGGUGUAGCGGUGGAAUGCGUAGAUAUCUGGAAGAACACCAGUUGCGAAGGCGAUCACCUGGCCAAACACUGACGCUGAGGCUCGAAAGCUGGGGGAGCAAACAGGAUUAGAUACCCUGGUAGUCCCAGCCCUAAACGAUGGACACUAGGUGUUGGUGGAGUUAACCCCAUCAGCGCCGAAGUUAACGCAUUAAGUGUCCCACCUGGGGAGUACGGUCGCAAGGCUGAAACUCAAAGGAAUUGACGGGGGCCCGCACAAGCGGUGGAGCAUGUGGUUCAAUUCGAAGCAACGCGAAGAACCUUACCUGGGCUUGACAUGGAGAGGACCAUCCUCAGAGAUGAGGACUUCUGUAGCAAUACAGACCUCUCACACAGGUGCUGCAUGGCUGUCGUCAGCUCGUGUCGUGAGAUAUUGGGUUAAGUCCCGCAACGAGCGCAACCCUUGUCCUUAGUUGCCAUCAGGUUAAGCUGGGCACUCUAGGGAGACUGCCAGUAAUAAACUGGAGGAAGGUGGGGAUGACGUCAAGUCCUCAUGGCCCUUACGUCCAGGGCUACACACGUGCUACAAUGAUCUGUACAACGGGUUGCGAUCCCGCAAGGAGGAGCUAAUCCCUUAAAACAGGUCUCAGUCCGGAUUGGAGUCUGCAACUCGACUCCAUGAAGUUGGAAUCGCUAGUAAUCGCGGAUCAGCAUGCCGCGGUGAAUCCGUUCCCGGGCAUUGUACACACCGCCCGUCAAGCCAUGGAAGCCGGAUGUACCC